rnacentral:rRNA from 1 species
GACGAACGCUGGCGGCGUGCUUAACACAUGCAAGUCGAACGAAGAGCGAUGGAAGCUUGCUUCUAUCAAUCUUAGUGGCGAACGGGUGAGUAACGCGUAAUCAACCUGCCCUUCAGAGGGGGACAACAGUUGGAAACGACUGCUAAUACCGCAUACGAUCUAAUCUCGGCAUCGAGGAUAGAUGAAAGGUGGCCUCUACAUGUAAGCUAUCACUGAAGGAGGGGAUUGCGUCUGAUUAGCUAGUUGGAGGGGUAACGGCCCACCAAGGCGAUGAUCAGUAGCCGGUCUGAGAGGAUGAACGGCCACAUUGGGACUGAGACACGGCCCAGACUCCUACGGGAGGCAGCAGUGGGGAAUCUUCCGCAAUGGACGAAAGUCUGACGGAGCAACGCCGCGUGAGUGAUGACGGCCUUCGGGUUGUAAAGCUCUGUUAAUCGGGACGGAAGGCCUUCUUGCGAAUAGUUAGAAGGAUUGACG